rnacentral:piRNA from 1 species
UGGCGUCCGAGCGGGGCAAGGUCAAG